UCCGGGGUUUCCCCGGCAGUCCCCCAUGAGUGCCCGGCAUCACCCGAUGGCAACAUAAGGCGGGGGUUGCGCUCGUUGCGGCACUUAACCCAACAUCUCACGACACGAGCUGACGACAGCCAUGCACCACCUGUCACCCAGUCCGAAGAGGGCCUUGUCUCCAAGGCUUUCCGGGUGAUGUCAAACCCAGGUAAGGUUCUUCGCGUUGCAUCGAAUUAAUCCGCAUGCUCCGCCGCUUGUGCGGGCCCCCGUCAAUUCCUUUGAGUUUCAUUCUUGCGAACGUACUCCCCAGGCGGGGCACUUAAUGCGUUAGCUACGGCGCGGCAGACGUGAAUGCAUCCGCCACACCUAGUGCCCAACGUUUACAGCUAGGACUAC
rnacentral:misc_RNA from 1 species